rnacentral:rRNA from 1 species
GACAGAGGGUGCAAACGUUGUUCGGAAUUACUGGGCGUAAAGCGCGUGUAGGCGGUCUCGCAAGUCGGAUGUGAAAGCCCAGGGCUCAACCCUGGAAGUGCACUCGAUACUGCGAGGCUAGAGUCCCGGAGAGGAUGGUGGAACUCUCGGUGUAGAGGUGAAAUUCGUAGAUAUCGAGAAGAACACCGGUGGCGAAGGCGGCCAUCUGGACGGUGACUGACGCUGAGACGCGAAAGCGUGGGGAGCGAACAGG